CCCGCCCGCCCCGGGCUCCGCGCUCCCCCGGCUCCGUCCUCGCUCACUUCCGGGAGCGGCUUCCCGGGGCCCACUGGUCUCAGCGGGUUGUUGUUGUGUUUUUUUUUUUCCUCUCGGUGUUUGGCGCUUUUCCCCGCCUUCCUCACCCGGAUUCAACCCUCGAGGCUGGAUCCCGGGGGGCGUCGGGAGGGCCGGCGGCGGGUGGGCGCGGAGUGCGGGGUCGCCGCCACUGCGCGCGCCGCGCCUCGGGGGGAACUAGAAUGCGUUCGGGAGCUGCCUGCCGGGCCCCGGGCACCCCCGGUGCCUGGCACUCCGCGGGCGCUCAAUAAAUAUUUGUUGAAUGAAUGAGCAGUUGACUACCGCGUUCACCCCCUGGAGCUUUAACUGACACCGAGAGGACCGGAAGCCGGGCUCCAGGGCGGACGCGACCUCCCGGGGCCACCGUUGAUAGCUUUCAAAGCGGGCGUGUUUGUCUCCGGAGCCCCACUGUAUAUGCUUCAGGCCCCAGAGACCUUGGAUCCUGUCCCUGGGUGUGAUAGACAAGGACUUAAUCACCUUUAGGGAUUCCUCAGUGAUUCCUCCACGUGGACCCCUAGGAGCUGAAGCGUUUGCAUUAUAGAAUGGGGACUUCGCAAAGUCUGUAGGUGGCUUCUCAUGAUCUGAUGACUUUCUGUGGACCAGGAGAACCACGUACCAGUGACAGAUCCCAGGGAAGGGCUCCAGCUCCAUGGAGGACAGCAAGGGUCAUCGCCAUGCCAACCACGGGAAUAGAAGGUCCAAACACUUCUGCCUAUUGCAUUUUGGUAUCAAGGCGGCCACGGACGGACAGCACGAAGAAAACAAUGCUUUCCUUACAUAGAAGGGGGACAGAGCAAGAUUAGGUUCAAUAGUGUGCCAGCAGCUCUCUCCUGGCAGUGACACAGGGCAGUUGGGCUAUGCUAACCCUCUGUGUGCAGUUGAGCAAACUCUGUUCCUUUCUCGUGGAGGACAGAUAUAACGAUGGGGUUGGCCAGGAGCCACUUGGACACACAAGCUUUAAGCAGAGACAAAAGAGUACUUAUUGAAUCUGAAACAAGAGAAGAUAUUCUCACACAGGGUGAUAAGCCUGCCCAGACCAUGUGGGCUCUUUAUCUCUUGGUGUUCCAGGCCCAAGGCCUGUUCCUAUGCAACAGAUGGGGGGGUAGAAAGACUGCACGCACGAGGCUGCCUUCCCCAACGCUAAUAACACAAAGAACACAGGCUUGUAUACCCUCCUAAAGAUGCACAUUGAAAUGGUAGACUAGGUCAAGGACAACUGCAAUAAAAUCCUUGUUUGGAAAAGAAACGAAUUGUAAACGCCAGCAACAGUGCUCCAUAGCAUUGAUUAAUUCUUGCAGGGCCAAUUGUGAAGGCUCCUGGCCUUAGCAGUAGAGUGACUGUUAGUGCAGACCUCUGGGACGACUCUCUCUCCAUCCCCUAGUUUUAUACUGAAGUAGAUACCCAGACAGUCUGGCACAGACCCUUAAAGUCUGGGUCAUAUGGACAGCCCGUUUCUUGCCGGUGCAGGACAUGCUGGGCCCCUCUUCAAGGGAAACAGACGAAAGUCUAAUUGAAUCAUUCCAUCUGGGUCAAAGCCCAGGGCCUUGCAUUGAUACACGGUCUUUUGCACGGUGUGUCGGAGGCUUUCUCAUCUGGCUAGGAAGUAGCACCUGCCAUUCCUCUUCCCAUCUCAGUGGCUAGAACUUUCCGUGUGGACACAACUGGCUACAAGAGAACAGGAUACGUAGACCUGAGCUAAGUAGCUCUGUCCUCACCUAAAACUUAGGAGUUCUAUUACUAAAGAACUAAAGAACGUAAAUGAAGGAUACUUGUGAGCAAUUCGUCUAUCUCGGCCACACACAUGAUGUCUCUCUUCCACACCACACUGGUCCAGUCGUGGAACUCAGCUUCCAAGGCGUGCACGCGCAUGCACACAUGCACACACGCACACACAACCCACACACACGCACACUUCUAGAAAGCUUUCGUUGGUGAUAACAGACUACUCAGUUUGGGAGGAGAGAUGGUGUCUAUGUCACAAAUGAUGAAAGUUAUAAUAAACACGCCUUCCUCAUUCUUUAAAGAGCCUCAUCCCUUUCACUCUGUUCCUCAGCCCCCCCCCCCCCUUCUGCUUUUCUCUUUACUUUGCCUGCUCUGUACUUCAGAUUUGCUCCUCAGCCUUAUUGCUGGGUACUUUAGAUUCCUUUCUGUGUACUUGGCUAUUCUAAUUGCCCUGACAGUCUCAUUUCCACCCAAAUGACAUUGCUAAGGGAUUUUGCUAAAGAGAGACAGUUCUUAAAAAACAAAAACAAAAACAAAAA